GCCAGCAGCCAUAUCACCCUGCAACUCACACUGAAGCUAAGCAGGUGUGAGCCUGGUCAGUACCUGGAUAAGAGACCUCCUGGGGAAAACUAAGGUUGCUGCUGGAA
rnacentral:rRNA from 1 species